UUCGGCCGACUGAAUGAUGGAUUAGUGGCGGACGGGUGAGUAACGCGUGAGGAACCUGCCUUUCAGAGGGGGACAACAGUUGGAAACGACUGCUAAUACCGCAUAAGCGCACGGGAUCGCAUGAUUCUGUGUGAAAAACUCCGGUGGUACAGGAUGGACCCGCGUCUGAUUAGCUGGUUGGUGAGGUAACGGCUCACCAAGGCGACGAUCAGUAGCCGGUCUGAGAGGAUGAACGGCCACACUGGAACUGAGACACGGUCCAGACUCC
rnacentral:rRNA from 1 species